AAUACACGGCCAAUUAUUUUCCUCUUAAAUUUUAUUUUUUCUUCCCAGUUAUCAAACACAUAUGGAACUUUCAGCAGUUUUGUGGUCUACCUACCCUUCCUUAAGAUUGUAUUGUGUUUAAACAUCCCAGAAGGAUGCCUGACUUUUCUAACCUCUGUGAAGGUCUAGGUUGCUUACUCUCCUUCAUGGGGAUAUGUGCCAAAGACAGCGAACAAAGAAAGGGGAGGGAAUGAACUGUCUCAGGUGUUUUACAUUGCCUCCACUUUGGCCAUUUUCCCAUUUGAAAAUACUCCUGCCAGGUAACAGGUCAGUUUUUAAGCAGUUAUGAAAUCAUAGAAACACUUUUAUUGUAGG